AGAAACAGAUGAUGUUCCAGAUAUGCAGCCUCAUGCUCACUAUGGAGCAUCUGAAAAAGUAAACACGGGAGGACGUCUUAGAAAAUAUUCUGAAUCUUUGAUUAGUUCCUAUGUUGCUUCCUCUGUAGCUAGGCAUGGGGGAUCCUUUGCCCGACCCUCUGGGUUCUCAGGACUAGGAGGAGGAGAAACUGAUCCUCUAAUACCUUGACUAGGAUCCGUGAAUGGGCCGUUCUGAUAUCAUCAUCGUAAAAAAAUGUUAUUAAGUUAAAAGUUAUAAAUACACGAAAAAUUAUUAAAAA